ensembl:snRNA U6 U6 spliceosomal RNA
GUGCUCUCUACAGCAGCACAUAUACUAAAAUUGGAAUGAUGCAGAGAAGAUUAGUAUGGCUUCUGCAAAAUAAUGAUACACAAAUUCAUGAAGCAUUCCAUAUUUUU